GGUGAUUCCAGCAGUCUGGGCGAGUGUUCCUGUGAGCCUGAGUAGGAAGCGCUGCAGUGAUGGAGACAUGAAAGGUAGGUUAAUGACAUAGGGUGAUGCUCAGCAUGUGGAGAGCCAGGCAGGGGGAGAAGCAAGGUAGCAAGCCAAGUAAACUCUUUCUUUGCAGCAAUGUGAAUCUGGGCACGUUCCUUAACCCUUUUCAGUUUCUGUCUAUUUAGCUGUAAAACAAGGUAAAGAUCUCUGCCUCAGACGGGUGGUAUUGGAGCUUAACACAGAAACGGGAGCCUUAGCAGGCGCUCAACCUGAGCUUCCACUUUUAAAUUAAGAGGCGAGACAUGAACCCGUGUAUAACAAAUUAGGGUGAACUUUAAUUUUGAGUGCGUCAGGGGAUUUCUGUUUCUUCUUUCUUAGCUCCCAUCUGCAAGGGUCGUGGUCAUCCAUCCAUCCAUUCAUUCAGGAAAUAUUUGCUGAGCUCUCUGCUUCUGUAGGGUAACCUGCUUUGCUGGAUCUGCUAAAUUGAGUGAAAUAUUAACACAUUUCUCAGACCUCAUCAAAGAAGUUUGUUUGUGCGGUGGAUGGUGAUUAAUAUAAAAAACUCACAACUGAUCAGAAUUCAGAGAAUAAGUCAAUGUAGUGUUAAAAACAAGGCUUAAUUGAACCCUGCCCCCCCCAAAAGACUCAGUGACCACGGUGGAAUAAGGGAAAGAAAGACUACAAGCAGAAAGCAAGUAUGUGGCACAGCACACCCCUGUGAUACCUCCCCGGUUCGUAUGUGCAACUUCCUCUGGCCGACCAGAUGGGGACUCAUUCCUGAAGGGGUCCAGAGUUGCUGCUUCAGAUCAUAGUGGACUCAACUCAGACUUGGCAGAUUGGAAUCUUAACCUCAAAUGUAAAAUUGGGGAUUCCCUAGAGCUCUGCUUUUGGCCUACUGAUGUGGAUUUAUUGUAUCCUGGAUUAUUUUUUUCUCAGCUCCUUCAUGAGUCCAGGGGAGAGGCUCAGUAUGGGGAUUUAGCCUCCGAGGAGCAGCAGAAACCUUUCACAAGGGAUAUUUAUGGGUCACUGGCUGAUGAAAGGCAUGCGGUUAGGUCCUUGAGACUUAGAGGUCAGAUCUGGGGAGUUGUCUUCCUUCUGGCUUCUGACCCUAGCAGUUUCAGUGCAUUGGUCAGCAGCCCCGCAAGUGACCACAGCUUCCUCUCACCCCACAGCUGGCUCUUCUGGGUUCUGACUAUUUCAUUACAGACAGCUUCCUUCUUGUUCCCCAACCUGGACCCUCCCAUUGGCCUUGGCUUCCCCACUAGUCAGGAUACUAACAUUUGUAAAUUCCCCUUGGGUUCAGAAACUUACUAUCUGAUCUGGAGGAGGCCAUUUCCUUCCUUCUGAUCCUGGGCCCAGAGCAAACUGGGAAAUUCACAGGAUCCGUAGAGCCAGAAGGUAUGGAAGUAACAUAGGAGGGCUGGCUACCUUUAUGUCAACCUGACACAAACUAGAAUCAUUUGCAAGAUGUAACCUAAACUGAGAAAAUGUCCCCUACUGUAAUGGCCUGUUGACAAGUUGGAAGGCCCAACUCAUUGUGAGCAGUGUAACCUCUGAGGAGAGCAAGCCGGUAAGCAGCACUGCUCUGUGGCCUCUGCAUCAGCUCCUGCCUAUGGGAUCCUGCCCUGACUUCUCUGGAUGAUGGACUGUGAUAUGGGACUAUAAGCAAAAAAUAAAACCUUUCCUCCACAGUUGUGUAAGCAUAUAUACUUUAAUACUUACUUUAAUAAGGUUCAACCCCUCCCUCUAGCCCACCACCCACCAGAGGUAGUGGAAAAGAAAGGUUAUUAGAAUAUGGGGGAAGUGGACCUGUUUAGAAACAGUUCUUUGGGGGGUAAUUCCAAUCUUUAUUGCUCUCAGUCAGUCCACGAGCAAACACCAAACAUGAAUCAGCAGCUGCCAUCCAGUCCACUCGGCAGACACCACACACGAAUCAGCAAGGGCAGUUCAAUCCAGGAAACCUCAAGGCUCACCAGUCAACCAGAGUCCGUGAAAGCAUGGAAACGAUAAAAAAAAAUUGAGGGAAUCUCACAAGAAAUUCUUUGGCGCUUUUACUUCUAUGAUGUCACCACACGCGAAGCUCAGCAACUCAGAGUAAGGUGAACCAAUACAUGGAUGUGGUCAGUGAAGACAAGUGAGACGGAGCAAGGUGAACCAAUGAUCGAGCUUCCACUGUCUGUGGGGUCACAUUUAUAUUCUUUCUAAACAUCAUGUAUCCUUUCAUGUGUUUUCUAAAGCAAAAUAUCAUUUCACCUGUGUCUGCUUCAGCAAACUAUCAUUAUAACCAGAAAUUUCCACUUUAAGUUGCUUUUGGCCAUGGUGUUUUAUCACAGAAAUAGAAGCCCCGCUUAAGACAACAGAGCAGACCCAAGAGUGAAAAUAGAAGGUAGCGACUCAGGAAGACGACAUUGAUCCUCUCUUCCUGAGCCAGUGAUCCUGAUCUUACAUAGCUUCCAGCACUGUGCUAAAGCAACAGUAGACUUAAUCGGGCACAUGUUUAAUAGAACCCUGGAUUGUUGCAGAGUUACAUGGCAAUUAGGCUGCUUCCACGAGUGAUUUGCUUAUUGAUUGAUGUUGUUCAUAGGUGCCUCGGUAGAGAGAGAAGCUCACCAAGAUGCUAAGCCUUCAUUUUCUGAAGGAGCAGAGGGGUACAGUCUCUCUGGGAAGACUGACACCCAGCUAGCUCACUCCAGUUACUUUAUUCAAACAUCAUACAAGGUUAAUUGGAGCUGAGAAAGACUCCAUCUACCAAAGUUAUCAUGCCCUUUUCUGCUCACGAUGGCAAGCAACCCACACAAAUCUCAGUCCCUUUUGACCAUGGUUAGCUAUAAUCAGAGGUAAGAACUCCAGGUUUGUAAAGAGCGUCUUAGGACCGAGAUCAGUACAGCUGCAACCUCCCAUAAAGCAUCGAGUGCGGACCUACCAGAGAAACAACAUUUCUCCAAGGUUAAAAAAAUCUCAUAACAAUUUUCCAGCCUGUAAUUGUUGACCCAAAGAUAUUAAAGGCUUUGCUGGAACAUUUCAAAGUCAGACACAAAGGCUUUACUAUACAUUUCAUUGUGUUUGCCAAUAUACCAGUUCUUUGAAUCAGUUAAACCAUACUUUGCUCCUCUCUGCCUACUUUGCUUCUCUAGUUGGGAUCACUGGCCCUCACUGGUAAUGUUGUCUUUAUGCCACACAGGCACAGUGGACUCUACAAUGACUCUUGCUCCAAAGAGGAAAAUGGGCAGAGCCCAUACAUGUAAUUAAGAAGGGUAAGGUUCAGCACUGUGUUCCCAUCCUGGUGUUUGGCGUACCAUUUGUUCAAGAAUAAUAGGCACCAUCCCUUAAUUACUCCCACUGAACGCAUGGGAGGUCUUAGACGCUCACCUGCCCACAGGGAGGCAUGGCUGUGCAUUCUUAAAGCAGAGUAGAACAGAACUCUGAGUCCAAGGCUUGGUGGUCUUAAGACUGGGGUAGUGAUGUCAGUGGCGAGAGGAUGCAUGUUACAGAAAGGACCAUCUUCCGGCUUAAUGUGUAAAGUGGCACACUGAUUCGUCUGAGAAUAUGGGGACAUUCCCAGACUAAUAGAAUCCCUGACUAAGUCAGUAUCAGAACCUCUGAGUGACCUGUGGAAAGGCGGCUUACUUCAGGAAGAGGGAGUAGCAGUGGGGACACACACCCUCUUUAUGGCAGUUAGGUGAAUAGUUUCUGUUUGCUGGACACUGAACCUAUGUGCAACUGCAGAUGAAGCAACAGGAAAGUGGGAGAUGCUAAAGCCAGCCGAGCGAUCUGUUCUUCAGUCUUGAAAGUCCCUGAUGAAAGCUAUUUCAGAAUGAGAAGAUGUUCACAGUUGUUAUGGCAACCAGCAAAUCUGCUUGGCCACCGGAAACCCUUCCCCUAAAGACCACAAUAGCUUUUGUUAUGAAACGUGGGGACUUUAUUUCAUUUCCCCUAUUAUCUAUUUUCAAAGUUGUCAACAGUAACAAAUUCCUUAGUACCUGUGGCCCAAGUUCUGGGACAACCCUGAGCCCCACUACUUCCAUCUGCACUGUAGUGUGUAACUUCAAUCUUUGCUCCAUUUAUAGGGGGAUAAAAAUACCCAUCAUGCGUAUUGAAAAGAGAAUAGAGUCAUUUACCUUUGCAGCCUUUUCAUGGCAUAUUUGCUGUAGAGGACAAAUACGUUUUCUUUGAAGUAUUAAUUCUAAUUGAAUGAUGUUGGCCUUGCCUCUGUCAAGAAGGUUCUGAGACUGUGUUCCAACUCAGUGGUUGGGGAUGAGGCAGAAGUGGCUUUAAAGUUCUAUGUAUUUGCUUCCUUGGUUUGGGGCAUUACCUCAUUGUUCCCUGUAAUGACUUUUGGGGGUUUAGAUGUCCAAAAUUAGCUUGUUGGAUGCUACUUGACUGGUGCUGACUCAUGGAAGAAAAAGUUCUUAUGUUCAAGGCUAAAAAGUAUACCUUGAUUCUUUUAAAACAUCUCUCCCUCUCUCUCCCUUCUUUCCUUCUUUCCUUCCUUCCUUUUUACUGGCAGAAAUGAGGGGUGUUCGUUGUUAAACGUUUGGCA
rnacentral:lncRNA from 1 species